GUCAAUCACAUCCCUUUGGGUCACUAGUAAUUUUUGUUCUCCUGAUAUUAGGGUGUAAUGUAUUGGGAAAUUUUAGAGAUAAUAUUUCCAAAGACUUAGUUAUCUCUUCCCCUCUGCCCUCCCACAAAGUUCCAUUGGAAUUCUUCCUUUCCAUCAAGUUGUAACCAUGAUUCUUUUCCAUUUUUCAACAACUUGUGGAUUAUCACUACUUCCAAAGUUGGCUAAUUACACAUGUGGACAAAGUUAGUAUUAAUUGGAACAAGAACUGAAUGACAAAGAACUAAAAAAUAAUUCAGUUUUUUGUGUUAUUAAGACACUAACUUGUUAAUUAAUAUAUAAGGCAGUGGUGUCCUGUUAGAUCUGGAUCUCACUUAUUUUGGAGUUCCUUCCAAAAUUUUGGAUCUUCACCCAUCCUUCUUUGCCCACCUUAUGGGACUCUUGAACAGCAAAUCCACCAUAAUGGGUUCAUCUUGUGACUUGGAGACCUUCCUUUAGUUCUAUUGACAUUGGGACAGCACUGGAACCUGGAGGCUAUUGACUAUAAUACAUUGACUGUACUCAAUCUUUACCUUUUUUAUGUGACUAGAUAACUUUUUUUCUGGUUGUUCCUUUGUCUGAUGACAUCUUCUAUGCCUCUUCUUUCAUAUAAUCUGUGAUGUGGAAUUCAUGACAUUCUGUGUCCACUUGCCAUGCCCUUUAAAUGAUGUCCAACUUGAGUUCUUCAGACUGUAAUGUCCCAUGAUCCACAGCCAUACCACACUUUGCCUAAAAUGGUAACUUUCCUCAUCCCUAUUUGUGAGAUUCCCUGGUCACUUUAAGUUCCAGCUACUAGUGACAAAGACUUUCCUGAUCUCUCUUGAUUUCAGUGUUUUCCCUCUGGUGAUAAUUUCCAAUUUGUCCUUUCUAGAGUUCACUUGUACAUAGUUGUUUGAUGUUGUCUCUUCCAUUAAAUUGGAAGUGCUUUACAGGUGCGGCUUUUCCUUGGCCUCUUUAUUCCAAGCUUUCAGCAAAGUAUCAGGUGUGUAGUGGGAACUUAAUAAGUGCUUAUUGAAUGACUGAAAAUAUUAUUGAAAAACGCUGUUAUAAAUAAAAAUUAAUCUGGAAGCUUAUUCUGUAUUUAUAAGCAUUUUUAUUUGUAAAGAGAGAGAAAGGAAGAAAAAAGGGUUUUCAGUCUUUCUACCUUUAGGUGAAAAUCUGAUCCUCCAUUGCAGCUGGCACUCUGAGCCCUGGCUUGUCAGAGAUCAAGAGAUAAGGUGAAGGGCUCAGAGAGAGGGGCCAGCCCAAAGAGCCAGUUAGUUCAAGAUAUUGGUCCAGAGAAAAGAGAGCUCUCAGCUUUUUGCUCUGGCUUUUCAAAAUAUCCACUCCUCCCACCCUGGAUCAAAGGCCAAUGGCUUUCAAAUGUCUGUGACCUGCACAGGAAUGCUAACUAAACCUGGACCCUACUGGCUUCUUUGUCAGACAAGAGACUGAUUCCUCUGUUGAUCCUCUAGGAUGAGUCUUCCAGGAUUGGACUGAGUUAGAGGUCUCCCAGAUCAUUUUACUGCACACAAUGGGAUGGAGACAAACUUUGUAUCAUCAAAGAACUGAGCAAUUUCCCAAAGGCAAUCCACUCUGGUGUCUUUUUUCUGUUUAGUUUUGAGUCCAACUCAUUGUCAAUUUGAAUGAAUAAAUGAAUGAAAAAUCUUAUUGGCAAUAUAGCUGUAGUUAGCAUUUGUAUAUCACUUUAAAGUUUUCAAAGGUAUUUGUAUGAAUUCUUUUAUUCAAAAACUCGUUACUUCCAUAUCAAAAUCAAUUGUGUAUUGGUUUCAAGGCAGAAGUAUGAUAAAGGACUUGCCCAGGGUCACACAGUGAGGAAGUGUAUGAGUCCAGAUUUCAAUCCAGGACCUCCCUUCUCUGGAAUGGGCCUGGUUUAGAAAUCCACUAAGCCACCUAGUUGACCCUGAGGCAUUUACAUAGAUUAUUUUAUUUGAUCUUCAUAAAAACUCUGGGAAGUCAGUGCUGCCAUUAUUCCUAUUUGCUCAGAUGAGGAAACAGACGAUGAGAGGUUAAAUGACAUAUCUAGGAUCUUAGAGGAUCUCUGUUUCAGGAUUUAUGUUUAAAUUGCUUAGAUACAGAAAAAUUAGAGUUGGCUAGAUUUAAAUCAAGGUUUUCCUGACUUUAAAUCUACCAUGACCUUUUGAUCCUCAUUUUCCUUUUGAUCAAUUCUUCUUUUCAAGUCAUUCUUUUCAUCUUUUAACUUUAUUGCCUCAUUUUCCAGUUGCUCAAUUCUGGUUUUUUAGCAACCAUUUUCUCAUUUUAGUUCAUUUGCCUCUGUUUCCAGAUGACCUAUUUUGCUUUUAAAGCUGUUGUUCUCCUUUCCCAAUUUUCUUCAACCUGUUUUAUUUGAUUUUUGAAUUCAUUUUUGAGCUCUUCCAGAGUUCAAGUCCAAUUUCCUGAAUUUUUUUGAAGUUUUCUUACCCCAAGAAUAUGAAUACUUCCCUCAGUAGAAUCUGUGGGUGAGACCAAUUUGUUCCAAAGGCCAUGAAUCAGGUGGGGCACAUAGAGCUUGGACAGAUAUGGGAGAUGUCAAGGUCAUCUACUACAUCCCACUUUCUCUCCAGUUGUCCUGACUUUUAUCUUGCUGAUAGACUUUGAUGACUCAGGAAGAAAGAGUGGGGCUGAUGGCUUUGUGCAACUCUGUCUCACCUAUUCUCGCACGUCAAGAUAUUAUCCUGUAAUAUCAGUGGUCCUCUAUGAAAAUAAGAGGAAAACAAUUUGUGAUGGAGAGAUAAAAUACAAAAGGGAGACAGUUCCUGCCUUUGAGGAGCUCACAUUUUAAAAGGGGAAGAUAAAGCACAUAGAAGAAUGGUGGCCAGGGAAAGGCAACUUGGUUUGGGGAGAUACAGGGAUGGUGAGUGAAGCCUCAUAACAUUUCAGGGUCUCCAUAUUACAUCAGAAUCAAGUGUAAAAUAGUCUAUUGGGUUUUGAAAGGUUUUCACAUCCAGGCAUCUUCUUAUGUUUCCAGUCAUCUUUCUUCCAUGUUGCCCUCACUACAAUCUAGCCAUAUUGGGCUACUUGUUGUCCCUCACAAAAAGCACUUUAUUUCUCACCCAUGUGCCUGUAAAGCUCUCCCUCCUCUCCCUUGCCUUUUGAGGGCCUGGCUUCCUUCAGGAUUCAGCUCAAAUACCACCUUUUACGGGAGAGCUUUUCUGGUUACCCCACCAAGUUUCUGGUCCCAUGCUCUAAGUUUCAUCAUGUUUUACACUUGUAAAUACCAGUACCUGUCCAUGUUAUCUUUCCCUUUAGAAUGUUAGCUUUUUCAGAAUAACAACCUUUUAUGCUUUUUUUUCUUUGCAUGCACAGAACAUUUCACUGUGUCUGGCUCAACAUAAAUGACCCUCAAAUAAUUCUUGUUGAUUCAUUUUCAUUACCUUUUCAGAAGGAAUGGCACUUAAUUUGUAAUCCCCAAAAUUAUGAAGUUAAAAAAGAGUCAUUUGCAGUAUGCCCUCUCCAGAUACUUGCCCAAUUCCAAUUCUCAUUUCCAGGCUGGAUCCUAUAAACCUUAAAAUUUCUUAGACUUAUGAAUGUUGGAAAUGUCCCUAUUGGGAAAUUUCAUACUUGGAAAAAAUUUCCUACUGAUAGUAAGAACUCUAUUGGAAUGUGAAACCCCUUGGCAUGGGAGGAUCCUUCUCCUCCCUACGUAAGACUACUUUAGGACAGAAACCUUUUGCUAAACAAUGGAAAGGGUUUUGACCUAUGCUUAAGCAUAGAACAGGAAGUUCUUUGAGUCAUGAUUGAUUUUAGAAUUGAUACAAUAGAGAUACUUGGAAUGACAGAACCAGGUCUUGGAAAAUACAAUCUCCACCCUACUUAGAGUAACAGGAUUUAGGAAGGACUGCAGCAAAGAUCAAGAUUUAAUUAUUUGAGAAUAUGACCUUCAACAGACAUGUGCAAAGCCACAGACCUCUGGGUGGUCCUGGGUUAAACUAGAGCCACCAUUGGCACAGGGGAGACAUCGACAGUGAUUGGUAGAUGUGAGAACUGAGGGGAGGGAACUGAGAUGGUUUCCUUAAAGAUAGCAGGGUCUGAGGACAGAGGAAGGAGAGUUUUUUGCUCAGAGGAGGUUUUGCUCUGAGCGAGGUGGCCCUGAAGGAGGACUGAGGAGGUUGCUCUGUUGGAGGACCAGGAAAGAAGGCUGGCUCUGUAGAAUUCUCUGGAAACAUUUCUUGAAAGGAGGCUCUCUUGAAGGUGGAGCCUGAGGUUGGCAUGAGAAGCAUUACCUAGAGAGAUCUUGGGUGAGUGAUAAAACCAACUGACUGAUUUAUUCAUUCUUAUUCCUUUCUUACUUUCUUUUUCUAUUGAUUAAUCAGUGUAUUAUAAAUUAAAUUUCUCUAUAAAACCCAGUUGGCUUGGGCAUAUUCAUAAAUUGGGAAUAUAUUCCCUGGUGACCAUCUUAUAUUUAUAUAAACCCAAGACACAGUAGAAAACAUAUUUCAGCGGUCAUAAUUGAUAUAUAUAUUUUCUUUGCUCCCAAACAUUUUAAUUAUCACAAUCCCCAGAGGGUGACUUACCACUUUUCUCUUUGGGGUUCUAGAUAUAACUCUGAGGGAAUAGUUUUUUUUUUUGAAGUAAUAUAUGCUAUCAUAUAUUACUAUUUAUAUAUACUAAUAGAUCCCUAAGCUUAUGCCUAUGUUCCCCAUGGUUCUCUAGGAAGCAAGACUUAGACUUUAUCAGCUUAUAAAAAAGAGGAAUUUACUAAGGAUAGUUUUUACAGAAACUCCCCCAUUCCCAUAGGUAGUCACUCUUCCUUUGCACAUACAAGGUCUCUGAAUAGAGUAAACUCAAGCUGAGAUGGCUCACAUGCCAAAAGAGAACCCUCCAGUUUCUGUUUACUACAAGUACUUUCUUUCUUUAUGCAUUUUAGUAUAGUUUUCUCCUCCCCCCAAGGGGAUAAUUUAGAAGGAAAGUAGAUUCUUAUUAAUUAAGAAAUAAAAUUACAUUGAAUAAUAAAUUAAAAAAGGAAAAGGCUCAUGGGAAUAUAGGACCCCAAACUGGAAGGGACUCAGAAUCUCUAUAUCCAGCCCCCUCAAUCUACCUGGUAUUCAUUUCAGACCACCUUUAGUAUUUUUACCUUGAACAAUCCUGAGGGUUGGAAUGAACUCAUUCCUGGAGCUCUCUCCCAUUGUAUUUCUUCCUCCUGGCCUCCUUUGAGUCUCAGCUAAAAUCCUUUUUUCUCCUGGAAGCCUUUCCUUUCCCCCUCUUAGUGCUAGUACCUUCCCUCUGGUGGCUAUUUCCACUUUAUUCUGUUGAUAGCUUGUUGGCAUAUCACUGCUUGUUUUUCCUCUAUCAGAGGGCAGGGACUGUUCUCCUUUCUUGGUAUCCUGAGAGUUUAGCACAUUGCCCGGAACAUAGUAGGCUGACUGACUGAACUAGAGCUUUGAAGUCCAAGAAUUUGACAAUUUCUGAAGGUGUAAAUUGCUUAAUAUAAUCAUGGUACGAAUCAGCACAUCACAAAUUGACAAGUGGUAAAAAUGAGUAAUAAAACUAAUUUUUCACUAUCGGUUGUUCCAGCUGUUAGCAAAGAGGCUCCAUUCCUUAGUGACCUGGGAGAAGUGGACACAUGCAGUGAAGGCAGCCAGCCAGCAGAUGCCAGUGUGUUCUCAGGUGUGAGAGAUUAGGAAACUGAAGCCUAAAGAAGUUAAGCAAGUUGACCAAGGUUCUAAACCUAACAUAUGAGGCCAUUGUCUAACCUGCCCAGAAGAGCCUUUUGGAUCCUGACUCCGUCACUGAAGUUCUUGGAAAAGUGGCGUGAAGAGAUGGAGGCCUAGCUGAAGAAGCACUCAUAAACAAUCUAGACAGACACAGCUGGAGAGAGACCAUCCCCUGAGAGAGAAACAGCUUUGAGGAGUAUCAUCCCUGACAGAGAAGAGCUGGUUAUGGCCUGAAGAGAGCACUCCUCCUGGCAAUGGAGAGAUGGGCCGUAGGACUUGUGUAAGGAUAGAAAGGGCCUUCAGGUCCUUCACUUUCAGAGCUGUAAGUUGUCUUGACACAUGGAUUGCGUACAUAUAUGCCUCCCUAUCAUUGUAUUUGAAGUUUUCACUCACUCUUUCUAUGGAUCUUGUAGGUAUUUUUGGGAGGGUGUGCCCCAGUUUUCUAAGGGAAAUUUUUGUAGCUACAUGCUUUACUAUGCCAUCUUAGAUUGUGCCUACUGUCUGAUUGCAAAAGGGAAGCGCACUAGAGGAGAUUCGGGAGCUAUUGUUUUAGGAGUCAUGAUCCAAAGGUACUGUAGGACCUGUGGGAGCAGUGACUACCCUCUGGGGAAGUGUGUCAGCUACUACCUAGCACAGGGCCCUGAACAGGCUUUUAUUAGAUAAUUGUUGAAAGAAUCUAUGAAUAGGGAGAUGCAUGCUGGGAGCUAAUAGGUCAGAGUAAAGGAUGCUCAGCUCACUCAAACCCUCCAACACUCCGAAGUAGAAAGCAAAGCACCUUAAAACAAAGAAAAGCCAGAGGGACAUGUCUCACUGGUGUGAGAGUGGCCAGUAGCCAAGUGACUGCUGCAUUGGGGGUAGCUUGCAGAGAAUACACCAGUGCAGACCAACUCACUGCCAUGUGGCCUGAGGUAAUGAAACUGGUUGGGUGGGGCAGGGAAGCUUAGUAUAAGCUUUACCCAAUUGGCCUGAGACAACAAAAAGAUAGAGUGAGGAGUAGCUCCAGGAGCUGAGAAAUAGUCCGAGGCAAAGAAACAGCAUAUUUGGGAACAACAUUGUACAGCCAAAUGGCCUGGGGAAAUGAGAUGGCAGAGUGGAGCAGUAGGUCAGUGCUGCUUGUGAAGACUGAAUUAUAAUCCUCUGACUGUUUGUUGAUUUAAUCCCCACAAAUGUAAGCACAGUACUUGAAGUUGAGUGGGAAGAUCUGCCCAUGGUAGAUCUGAUCACCAAGGGUGUAAAUCUCCCACUUAAUCAUGAGGUGGGAGGUCUGUGACCCAUGUGUGUGAUAGUGGGUAAUGAAUUAUAAUUGACUAAUUGCCUUCUGGGCAGUCCUAGAGCAGAGCAUCUGCUUUGAUUGGUCAACGUGAAAUUUAGGGGAGUAGACACGAGAGAUAAAGGUCUUUAAGAAGAGGACCAGAGGCCAGAAGAAGAUAUUCGAUUUGAUUCGAGUGAGAUGGAAGAACUCUGACUUGUAGUAAAGACUGGAGGACAGACACUUGAGGAAAGACUGGAAGGGGAACCCUGGAGGAACUCGUGCAGGAGACCUCAGACUGCUUUCUUUUUAGAUGGUCACCAUUGGUGAGUGAAAGGCUGAUUUAGUGACCCUGACUUUCUGGAGGCAUGAAGCCUCCAGGAAAGGUCCAUCAUCUUGAGAGUCUUUUCCCCUGGCUUGGACUUAGAAUUUCUAACUGGUAUCAGCGGAAGCCAGAGUGCUCUCUUUCAGUCUCUCUCUCUCUCUCUCUCUCUCUCUCUCUCUCUCUCUCUCUCUCUCUCUCUCUCUCUCUCUGUCUCUCUCUCUGUCUCUCUCUGUCUCUCUCUCUUUCUCUCCCCUUUUCUAUCUUACUUCAUAUCUUCCCUCUAUUAUGAAUAAACUACAAUAAAUUCCAUUUACUUUAGUAAUUCAUUUUGGGAUUUAGAAAUAAAAUCCCUGGUGACCAC